rnacentral:rRNA from 1 species
UACAGAGGUCCCAAGCGUUGUUCGGAUUCAUUGGGCGUAAAGGGUGCGUAGGUGGCAUGGUUAGUCGGGUGUGAAAUCCCGGGGCUCAACCCCGGAACUGCACUCGAUACUGCCGGACUAGAGUUCGGAAGAGGCGAGUGGAAUUCCCGGUGUAGCGGUGAAAUGCGCAGAUAUCGGGAGGAACACCAAUGGCGAAGGCAGCUCGCUGGGACGUUACUGACGCUGAGACGCGAAAGCGUGGGGAGCAAACAGG